CGGACGGGUGAGUAAUGUCUGGGAAACUGCCUGAUGGAGGGGGAUAACUACUGGAAACGGUAGCUAAUACCGCAUAACGCCGCAAGACCAAAGAGGGGGACCUUCGGGCCUCUUGCCAUCGGAUGUGCCCAGAUGGGAUUAGCUAGUAGGUGGGGUAACGGCUCACCUAGGCGACGAUCCCUAGCUGGUCUGAGAGGAUGACCAGCCACACUGGAACUGAGACACGGUCCAGACUCCUACGGGAGGCAGCAUG
rnacentral:rRNA from 1 species